rnacentral:rRNA from 1 species
UACGUAGGGGGCAAGCGUUGUCCGGAUUUAUUGGGCGUAAAGAGCGUGUAGGCGGUUCGGUAGGUCCGUUGUGAAAACUCGAGGCUCAACCUCGAGACGCCGAUGGAAACCCUCGAACUAGAGUCCGGAAGAGGAGAAUGGAAUUCCUGGUGUAGCGGUGAAAUGCGCAGAUAUCAGGAAGAACACCCGUGGCUAAGGCGGUUCUCUAGGCCUUACCUGACGCUGAGGAGCGAAAGCGUGGGGAGCGAACAGG